AGUGGUGAAAUAAACAUGAUCAGAAGUGUGCUGCUAAGACCUUGAAUGGUGAAGCCACAGCUGUCCCAUGAACUGGCUGGGGGACCUUUUCUUCAGGUUGUAUAGCUGAAGUCUGUGUCUUGGAAGCUAAGAAAAUAUCUAAGAAGAAAUCUUGAAAACUGAGAGAGGAGAGCAGAGCAACUGCAGACAUAAAGUGGAAGUACGCUCUGGCCAACACAUCCCUCUCAGUACAAAGUUCCUCGGCAGUCUUGCUGGACAGUUUGAAAGUGAUUACCUUGGUAACGCCACUUCCUGCAGCCAAGAAAGCUUCAGACAGCUUGUCUUAGUAUUGCUUUUGUGCUUUUGUGCUCUUAACAAUUAUAGUAACUUUAGGAUGCCUGAGGAUUUCACAAAUACAUUUCAUGAGGGAAAAAUACUCCUCUGUGAACAGAAGAUUUAUGUCAAAGGGUUUUCCAUGAAACUGCAAGAGCUGUAUCUGCUUUGUCCCGUGGUGCUAGCAAAGAAUCCAAUGCUACUUGCUAAUGCACUACUCUGGGAAAUCAGUGAUUUCUGAGAUCAACUUACCCACUUUGCUGAGCAAUUUCUUGAAUGUC